UACGGAGGGUGCAAGCGUUAUUCGGAUUUAUUGGGCGUAAAGAGCGUGUAGGCGGUUGGGUAAGUCAGAUGUGAAAGCCCAGGGCUCAACCCAGGAAGUGCAUCUGAAACUGCUUAACUUGAGUACGAGAGAGGGGAGUGGAAUUCCCGGUGUAGAGGUGAAAUUCGUAGAUAUCGGGAGGAACACCCGUGGCGAAGGCGACUCUCUGGAUCGAUACUGACGCUGAGACGCGAAAGCGUGGGGAGCAAACAGGAUUAGAUACCCGCGUA
rnacentral:rRNA from 1 species